rnacentral:rRNA from 1 species
GAUGAACGCUGACAGAAUGCUUAACACAUGCAAGUCAACUUGAACUUCGGUUUGGGUGGCGGACGGGUGAGUAACGCGUAAAGAACUUGCCUCACAGAUAGGGACAACAUUUGGAAACGAAUGCUAAUACCUGAUAUUAUGAUUUUAGGGCAUCCUAGGAUUAUGAAAGCUAUAUGCGCUGUGAGAGAGCUUUGCGUCCCAUUAGCUAGUUGGAGAGGUAACGGCUCACCAAGGCGAUGAUGGGUAGCCGGCCUGAGAGGGUGAUCGGCCACAAGGGGACUGAGACACGGCCCUUACUCCUACGGGGGGCAGCAGUGGGGAAUAUUGGACAAUGGACCAAGAGUCUGAUCCAGCAAUUCUGUGUGCACGAUGAAGUUUUUCGGAAUGUAAAGUGCUUUCAGUUGGGAAGAAAAAAAUGACGGUACCAACAGAAGAAGUGACGGCUAAAUACGUGCCAGCAGCCGCGGUAAUACGUAUGUCACAAGCGUUAUCCGGAUUUAUUGGGCGUAAAGCGCGUCUAGGUGGUUAUGUAAGUCUGAUGUGAAAAUGCAGGGCUCAACUCUGUAUUGCGUUGGAAACUGUGUAACUAGAGUACUGGAGAGGUAAGCGGAACUACAAGUGUAGAGGUGAAAUUCGUAGAUAUUUGUAGGAAUGCCGAUGGGGAAGCCAGCUUACUGGACAGAUACUGACGCUGAAGCG